AACUUCUCUGAAGCUGGAAACUUCCUGGCGAUCCCGGGAAGGAGUACACCUUUUUUCUUAACCCUUGACUUUUUGCGCACUCAUGUUUCCUCGGCAGGCCUGCCUGCCGGAUGGACAAAACCAUAACCUUUUUACUAUUCAAUCAUGGUCUGAACAAUUAUAAUAAUUACAACUUUCAACAACGGAUCUCUUGGUUCUGGCAUCGAUGAAGAACGCACGAAAUGCGAUAAGUAUUGUGAAUUGCAAAUUCAUGGAAUCAUCGAAUCUUUGAACGCACAUUGCGCCCCUUGGAUUCCAUGGGGCAUGCCUGUUCGAGCGUCAUUUGUACUCUCAAGCCUUGCUUGGUGUUGGGUGCUUGUCUUUGCUUUGCGAAACUCUCCCUAAAUACAUUGGCAGCCGAUAUAUUGGUUUGAAGCGCACACAAUUGCUAUUCAGGCUUGUGUAUCCAUCCACAAAGAAUGAUAACACUU
rnacentral:sRNA from 1 species